CGGGGCUCCCACUCUGCCUUCAGGGACACCUUCCAAUGACCUCCUACUAGACUGGAUCCUUAAAGGUCCCCCCACCUCCCAACACUACCAAGCUGGGGACUAAACCUUUAAUACACCCACCUCUGGGGGAAGCCCGAGACUCAAACUGCAGCGCUUACCCUUUUAUCCAAAUAAACUGCACUGAGCACCUCCCAGGUAUCAAAUGCUGCAGGUAGUCCCCGAGAUACAAAUAUAAACCAGAUCCAAAUCCUGCCUUUGAGGAUCCUUCCGCCCUGACCCCACUUUUGGUCCUGCCUGUGUGGGUUUAGACGAAUUUGCACACCCACGACGAAUAUCAGAAUCCAACACAAGUGAUUUCUUGAGCUCAUCAAUAACCAGUUAUCACUAAAAAUGCCCCAGGUGAGAGAACCCCCACGACCUACGUCAAAGGCUUUGUUUUGAUUUUUUUAAU
rnacentral:lncRNA from 1 species